UACGUAGGUGGCAAGCGUUGUCCGGAUUUACUGGGCGUAAAGGGCGUGCAGGCGGUCUGUUAAGUGCAGGGUGAAAGCUCCCGGCUCAACUGGGAGAGGUCCUUGCAUACUGGCGGACUUGAGGGGGGGGUAGAGGAAAGUGGAAUUCCCGGUGUAGUGGUGAUAUGCGUAGAUAUCGGGAGGAACACCUGUGGCGAAGGCGGCUUUCUGGGCCCUACCUGACGCUGAGACGCGAAAGCGUGGGGAGCGAACCGG
rnacentral:rRNA from 1 species